rnacentral:lncRNA from 1 species
GAAUUUGACUGGAAUAACUGAAGUAGACUGCGGUCAGAUUUUAUAUGCUGCCACUCACCUGCACUCCAGUGAUUUCUCACUUCCACCUCCGCAUUAUUUGAAGUAAAUGAAUGGAUGACUGAAUGGUAGUGGAUGAUAGGCUAUGAAACUCAUAUUAAAAGGCACUAUCUCAUUGAAAACCUAAAUAAAGAAUUACAGUGAUGUUUGC